CCUCCAGUUCCGUCUGGAGUAGCCUACGGACACAUGCAUUAGGAGUAAUUCUUUUGUAUGAAGCUGUCCCGACAAGGUAGCCUUUCCGAAAGGAGAAGAUUGAACCGUGAGGGGAAAUCAACGGCUGAUAACACCAUUCAGCACGAGGA
rfam:Parabacteroides goldsteinii dnLKV18 genomic scaffold acPFM-supercont1.1, whole genome shotgun sequence.